rnacentral:rRNA from 1 species
AGGUCAAGCUACAAAGGGCGCAUGGUGAAUGCCUUGGCAUCAGGAGCCGAUGAAGGACGUGAUAAGCUGCGAUAAGCUUCGGGUAGGCGCACAUAGCCUGAGAUCCGAAGAUCUCCGAAUGAGGAAACUCACAUGGGAAACCCCAUGUAUCAUUAAGUGAAUACAUAGCUUAAUGAAGGUAACCCAGGGAACUGAAACAUCUAAGUACCUGGAGGAAGAGAAAGAAAAAUCGAUUUUCUUAGUAGCGGCGAGCGAAAGGGAAAGAGCCCAAACCGGAAACUUGUUUCCGGGGUUGAGGACAUAACAUAAAGAGAAGUAAUGGCUAAUUGAAGAGAACUGGAAAGUUCCACCGUAGAAGGUAAUAGUCCUGUAAAUGAAAGCUAGUAUAAUCGAGUUAUGAUCCAGAGUACCACGAGACACGUGAAACCUUGUGGGAAGCUGGGAGGACCACCUCCCAAGGCUAAAUACUACCUGAUGACCGAUAGUGAAGCAGUACCGUGAGGGAAAGGUGAAAAGAACCCCGGGAGGGGAGUGAAAUAGAACCUGAAACCGUGUGCCU